UGGGGAAUUUUGGACAAUGGGCGAAAGCCUGAUGCAGCAACGCCGCGUGCGGGACGAAGGCCUUCGGGUCGUAAACCGCUUUUCUGGGGAAAGAGCAAGGACGGUACCUCAGGAAUAUGUCUCGGCUAACUACGUGCCAGCAGCCGCGGUAAAACGUAGGAGGCGAGCGUUAUCCGGAUUUACUGGGCGUAAAGCGCACGCAGGCGGCUCUGUGAGUCGGACGUGAAAGCUCUCGACUUAACCGGGAGAGGCCGUUCGAUACUGCGGGGCUUGAGGUAGGGAGAGGAAUGCGGAAUUCCCGGUGUAGUGGUGGAAUGCGUAGAUAUCGGGAGGAACACCUGUGGCGAAAGCGGCAUUCUGGCCCUCACCUGACGCUGAGGUGCGAAAGCGUGGGUAGCAAACAG
rnacentral:rRNA from 1 species